rnacentral:rRNA from 1 species
GGGAAACUUACCAAGGCCAAACAGAGGUGGGAUUGACAGAUUGAGAGCUCUUUCUUGAUUCUUUGGGUGGUGGUGCAUGGCCGUUCUUAGUUGGUGGAGUGAUUUGUCUGGCUUAAUUUGACUCAACACGGGAAAUCUCACCAGGCCCGGCUACUGGAAGGAUUGACAGAUUGAUAUUGAUAUUGAGCAAUAA